ACUAUCAACAACGGAUCUCUUGGCUCUGCAUCGAUGAAGAACGCAGCGAACCGCGAUAUUUUUGUGACUUGCAGAUGUGAAUCAUCAAUCUUUGAACGCACAUUGCGCGGUAUGGCAUUCCGUACCGCACGGAUGGAAGGAGCGUGUUCCCUCUGGGAUCGCAUUGCUUUCUUGAAAUGGAUUUUAACUCUCAAUUAUUACGUCAUUUCCAUCCGAGAUUACCCGCUGAACUUAAGCAUAUCAAUACGGAGGAAAAGAAACCAACAGGGAUUGCCUCAGUAACGGCGAGUGAAGCGGCAAAAGCUCAAAUUGAAACCCUCGGGAUUUAAUUUGAAGAUUUGGCGUGGAGAAAGCUAACCCAAGUUGCUUGGGAAUGUGCGUCAUAGAGGGUGACAACCCCGUCUGGCUAACUCUCAUUCUCUGCCCUUAUCAAAGAGUCGAGUUGUUUGGGAAUGCAGCUCAAAGUGGGUGGUAAACUCCAUCUAAAGCUAAAUACUGGUGAGAGACCGAUAGCGAACAAGUACUGUGAAGAGAGGGUGAAAAGAACUUUGAAAGAGAGUGAAAUAGUAUGUGAAAUUGUUGAUAGGGAAGUGAGUGGAGUGGGACAGCCGCCCCUCGUGGGCGGUGUACUGCCGGCCGAGUCAUCGACAGCGAGACGAGGGUUACAAAUGGGAGCGCCGGGCGUUCUCCCUAACCCUCCACACUGCCACCGACGACAUAAUCCACCCAUUUCACCCGUCUUGAAAACACGGACCAAGGAGUCUAAUGGAUAUGUGGGUGUUAGGGUGGCAAACCCCAGCGCGCAAUGAAAGUGAAUGGAUUCGUUCAGAAUCGACCGAACUUAUUAUGACAGUUUUGAGUAGCAUCCAUUGGGACCCGAGAUGGUGAACUAUGCCUGGAUAGGGUGAAGUCAGAGAAACUCUGAUGGAGGCUCGUGGCAGUUCUGACGUGCAAAUCGAUCGUGGGAUCUGGGUAUAGGGGCGAAAGACUAAUCGAACCAUCUGAGUAGCUGGUUCCUGCCGAAGUUUCCCUCAGGAUAGCAGAAGCUCAUAUCAGUUUUAUGAGGUAAAGCGAAUGAUUAGAAGUAUUGGGGAAAUGCCCUCGGCAUUCUCAAACUUUAAAUAUGUAAGAAGCCUUGGUUACUUAAUGAACCGUGGCUACGAAUGAAGAGCUUCUAGUGGGCCAUUUUGGUAAGCAGAACUGGCGAUGCGGGAUGAACCGAACGUGGAGUUAAGGUGCCGGAAUGCUCAUCAGACACCACAAAAGGUGUUAGUUUAUCUAGACAGCCGGACGGUGGCCAUGGAAGUCGGAAUCCGCUAAGGUGUGUCACAACUCACCGGCCGAAUGAACUAGCCCUGAAAUGGAUGGCGCUUAAGCGUGUUACUCUCUGAGGAGGGUUUCCUCUCAGUAGGCAGGCGUGAGGGGUUGUUGAGAAGCGUUGGCCGUGAGGCUGCGUCGAACAGCCCUGUGAUCUUGGUGGUAGUAGCAAAUAUUCAAAUGAGAACUUUGAAGACUGAAGUGGGGAAGGGUUCCGUGUGAACAGCAGUUGGACACAGGAUGGAAGAUCAGUCGCUAGGUGUGGCCCGAUAAGGACUCUCAAAGGAAGCCGGUUGAAAUUCCGGCGCGGAUGUGGAUUCUCCACGGCAAUCAAUGUGGGACGGUGGCACAAGUCUUGGAAGGAGUUAUCUUUUCUAACUGGAGUCAACACCCUGGAAUUAGUUUGUCUAGAGAUAGGGUAUCUGGAGGGGACAGCUGUCCUCAGAUGCACAUGACGCCCAGAAAACCAGGAGGGAAUAGUUUCACGGGUCGUACUGAUAACCGCAGCAGGUCUCCAGGUGAACAACCUCUAGUUGAUAGAAUAAUGUAGAUAAGGGAAGUCAGGCCAAAGUCCAUAAGCCUGGGGAUAAGGAUUGGCUCUGGGGGUGGUGGAUGGAAUGGGGACCCAAGGGGACUGGCUGGGCAACUGGCAGCAGCGGGACCUGGCAGACUGCGUGCAUCAUCAACCGCCCAGAACUGGUUCGGACAAGGGAAUCUGACUGUCUAAUUAAAACAUAGCUUUGCGAUGGUUUAAAACAAACGCAAAGUGAUUUCUGUGCUCUGAAUGUCAAAGUGAAGAAAUUCAACCAAGCUUGGAUAAACGGCGGGAGUAACUAUGACUCUCUUAAGGUAGCCAAAUGCCUCGUCAUCUAAUUAGUGACGCGCAUGAAUGGAUUAACGAGAUUCCCACUGUCCCUAUCUACUAUCUAGCGAAACCACAGCCAAGGGAACGGGCUUGGAAUCAGCGAGGAAAGACCUGUUGAGCUUGACUCUGGUUUGACAUUGUGAAGAGACAUAGGGGGUGUAGAAUAAGUGGGAGCUUCGGCGCCGGUGAAAUACCACUACCUUAUCGUUUCUUUACUUAUUUAGUAAGUGGAAGUGGUUUAACAACCAUUUUCUAGCAUUCCUUUCAGGCUGAAGACAUUUGUCAGGUGGGAGUUUGGCUGGGGGGCACAUCUGUUAAAGAUAACGCAGAUGUCCUAAGGGGACUCAAUGAGAACAGAAUCUCAUGUAGAAAAAAGGUAAAGUCCUUGAUUUUGAUUUUCAGUGUGAAUACAAACCAUGAAAGUGUGGCCUAUCGAUCCUUUAGUUGUUCGGGUUUGAACCUAGAGGUGCCACCAGGGAUAACUGGCUUGUGGCAGUCAAGCGUUCAUAGCGACAUUGCUUUUGAUCCUUCGAUGUCGGCUCUUCCUAUCAUACCGAGCAGAAUUCGGUAAGCGUUGGAUUGUUCACCCACUAAUAGGGAACGUGAGCUGGGUUUAGACCGUCGUGAGACAGGUUAGUUUACCCUACUGAUGGACUUGUUGCAAUAGUAAUUGAACUUAGUACGAGAGGAACAGUUCAUUCGGAUAAUUAGUGUUUGCUGCUGUCUGAUCAGGCAAUGCAGCGAAGCUACCAUCCGCUGGAUUAUGGCUGAACGCCUCUAGAUUCAAACCCAUGUAGAAGUGAUGAAUUAGGGGGUAGGAUGGAUAUGAAUAAGUAUCCGCAGUACCGGAGGAGUUUGGGUGGAUAAGGAAAUGUCUGCUCUUCCCUGUAAGGGUUUACCCUGUGAAAUCCAUUGU
rnacentral:rRNA from 1 species